rnacentral:rRNA from 1 species
AUUGAACGCUGGCGGCAAGCCUAACACAUGCAAGUCGAACGAGUGGCGGACGGGUGAGUAAUGUCUGGGAAACUGCCUGAUGGAGGGGGAUAACUACUGGACACGGUAGCUAAUACCGCAUACCAUCGGAUGUGCACAGAUGGGAUUAGGUAGUAGGUGGGGUAAGGGCUCACCUAGGCGACGAUCCCUCGCUGGUCUGAGAGGAUAACCGGCCACACUGGAACGGAGACACGGUCCAGACUCCUACGGGAGGCAGCAGUGUGGAAUAUUGCACAAUGGGCGCAAGCCUGAUGCAGCCAUGCCGCUUGUAGGAAGAAUGCCUUCGGGUUGUAAAGUACUUUCAGCGGGGAGGCGUUACCCGCAGAAGAAGCACCGGCUAACACCGUGCCAGCAGCCGCGGUAAUUC